GACAACAUCCGCCUCUUUCGCCCCUCCCAUUUUCAGUUCAACUUUCCAAGUGCCGCCUCCUUCUCUGAGUGUGCUCCUCUAUUUCUCCGUGUUUCGCAGCUGGAGUACUCGCUACGGAGCGGUACGUCUUCUUCUUUGUCUUCCUCCCUUCUGAAGGCAUAUUUUGAUGUUGAUAUCCUUACUGCUCCCCUCCCCUAUUUGUUUGUAUGUCUGCUGUUGGAUUGUCCUGAUAUCUGAUUUGCUUUGUUCUUAAUCUGAUAGCUGGAAUCUGUGUUUUAUCCAUGUUAAUAAUGCGUUUACCAGCUGCUGGUAGCUCUGAGAAACUCCUAAAUUCUUGUGUAUAUGGUUGAUUAAUAGCUAAAUUAGCUAAAUAAUCUGCCAUCUGAUUGCCCUCUCUGAAGAUAUGCUUGAUUUUAGCCUUUUGCAGACACAUUUC
rnacentral:lncRNA from 1 species